ACGCACGUGUGAAACUUGAAGGAAUUGACGGAAGGGCCCCACAAGAACGCGUGGAGCAUGUGGCUUAAUUUGACUCAACGCGGGAAAUCUUACCGGGUCCGGACACACUGAGGAUUGACAGGCAAUCAUGUGAAUUGCUGUUUUUCUAGCUUGCUAGAAAUUAGGCAUUCACAUCUAAAUAUGCUAGUCCUUUCAUGAUUAUGUGAUAGGUGGUGCAUGGCCGUUCUUAGUUCGUGGAGUGAUCUGUCUGCUUAAAUGCGUUUCGCACUGGACUUGAUAAUCAAGUGUGCUAUUUUUCUUGUACCUCUGUACACGUUUUGCGCGUUAUAAAGUUUAGAUGUUUACCCCAGUUGCUUAUUUUUAGUUGGCGCUCGCUGCAAUUUAUUGUGGCUUGAGCUAGCUUUUCUUAGGCGGCUGCGCGCGUAUCGUUUUUACAAGUGUUAAUUCAGUACUUGGUGCGAUUUGGAAAGGUAUGUGCACAUUGGGUCCUGAAAGCAACGAACGUGACCG
rnacentral:rRNA from 1 species